AGUAAAUAGAUACCCGGGUAGUCCACGCCGUAAACGAUGAGUGCUAGAUGUUGGCGGGCUUGCCCGUCGGUGUCGCAGCUAAACGCGUUAAGCACUCCGCCUGGGGAGUACGGUCGCAAGAUUAAAACUCAAAGGAAUUGACGGGGCCCGGCCACAAGCGGUGGAGCAUGUGGUUUAAAGUUUACGUAAGACAACGACGCAGAACCUUAACCCUACGCCCUUCGUACAUGGGACGGUUUGGGGUUCCGACGAGACGGACCGUCUUCAUUUAGUUUGGCGUCCACACAGGUGCUGCAUGGCGUGUCGUCAGCUCGUGUCGUGAGAUGUUGGGUUAAGUCCCGCAACGAGCGCAACCCUCGUCUUCAGUUGCCAUCAGGUAAGGCUGGGCACUCUGGAGAAACUGCCGGUGACAAGCCGGAGGAAGGUGGGGUAUGACGUCAAGUCCUCAUGGCCCUUACGGGGUCUGGGCUACACACGUGCUACAAUGGCGGUGACAAUGGGUUCGCGAUCCCGCAAGGGGGUAGCUAAUCUCAAAAA
rnacentral:rRNA from 1 species